rnacentral:rRNA from 1 species
AUUCCAGCUCCAAUAGCGUAUACUAAAGUUGUUGCAGUUAAAAAGCUCGUAGUUGGAUUUCAAAUCUCUCUUGGGGUUCCUUUUCUAAAGAAAUGUGCGACCAUUCAAGAGAGAUUAUCCUCGUGCCUAGCCUUUCUCACUUUCAUUAGUCAGGAAGGGGACGCACGUCAUUUACUGUGAGCAAAAUAGAGUGUUCAAAGCAGGCUUAGGCCAUGAAUAUAUUAGCAUGGAAUAAUAAGAUAGGACCUUGGUCUAUUUUGUUGGUUUACAUUCCAAGGUAAUGAUUAAUAGGGAUAGUUGGGGGUAUUCGUAUUCAAUUGUCAGAGGUGAAAUUCUUGGAUUUAUGGAAGACGAACUACUGCGAAAGCAUUUACCAAGGAUGUUUUCAUUA